CUCCUCCACCUGCUCCUCCACGUGCCCUGGCUGCUUCUGGCUCUGCACCUGGGGUCCGGGUGUUUCAAGUGGCCAAGUCAGAACCACAAGGCAUCUUAUGCUGGAACCUCAGAAGUCAGGCAGCAUCACGUUCCUCAUGUUCUAGUCACCAAAGCAAGUCCCAGAUCCAAAAAGGGGGAUUAGCAUCAGCUCUUGAUAGAGGAUGGCAAGGUCACAUUGCUAAAGAGCAUGUGGGAUGGGAGAUAUUGUUGAGGCCAUCUUUGGAAAAG
rnacentral:lncRNA from 1 species